rnacentral:rRNA from 1 species
GGUGAACGCUGGCGGUAGGCCUAACACAUGCAAGUCGAACGGCAGCACAGUAAGAGCUUGCUCUUACGGGUGGCGAGUGGCGGACGGGUGAGGAAUACAUCGGAAUCUACUUUUUCGCGGGGGAUAACGUAGGGAAACUUACGCUAAUACCGCAUACGACCUACGGGUGAAAGCAGGGGAUCUUCGGACCUUGCGCGAUUGAAUGAGCCGAUGUCGGAUUAGCUAGUUGGCGGGGUAAAGGCCCACCAAGGCGACGAUCCGUAGCUGGUCUGAGAGGAUGAUCAGCCACACUGGAACUGAGACACGGUCCAGACUCCUACGGGAGGCAGCAGUGGGGAAUAUUGGACAAUGGGCGCAAGCCUGAUCCAGCCAUACCGCGUGGGUGAAGAAGGCCUUCGGGUUGUAAAGCCCUUUUGUUGGGAAAGAAAAGCAGCAGGUUAAUACCCCGCUGUUCUGACGGUACCCAAAGAAUAAGCACCGGCUAACUUCGUG